UCAAUGUCCUUAAUCCAAUUGUCUUAAAUUGUUUAUGAAGAAUUAUUACUAAUUUGUUCACUGUUCUCUGUCUUUGGAUGACCUAAUGUUCAACAAUUAUUGACUUAGGUCAAAAAUAAAAUAAGGCGAUUGCUAAACCGUCCAUAUGGAGUUCUAAAAUAGUUUCGGUCACGUCUCGACAAACUUCACUAUCGUGUUUUUUAAUGUUGAG
rnacentral:lncRNA from 1 species